rnacentral:rRNA from 1 species
AUACGGAGGGUGCAAGCGUUAUCCGGAUUUAUUGGGUUUAAAGGGUCCGUAGGCGGAUCUGUAAGUCAGUGGUGAAAUCUCAUAGCUUAACUAUGAAACUGCCAUUGAUACUGCAGGUCUUGAGUAAGGUAGAAGUAGCUGGAAUAAGUAGUGUAGCGGUGAAAUGCAUAGAUAUUACUUAGAACACCAAUUGUGAAGGCAGGUUACUAUGUCUUAACUGACGCUGAUGGACGAAAGCGUGGGGAGCGAACAGGAUUAGAAACCCCGGUAGUCC